CCUACGGGUGGCAGCAGUGAGGAAUAUUGGUCAAUGGACGAGAGUCUGAACCAGCCAAGUAGCGUGAAGGAUGACUGCCCUAUGGGUUGUAAACUUCUUUUAUAUGGGAAUAAAAUGUUCCACGUGUGGGAUUUUGUAUGUACCAUAUGAAUAAGGAUCGGCUAACUCCGUGCCAGCAGCCGCGGUAAUACGGAGGAUCCGAGCGUUAUCCGGAUUUAUUGGGUUUAAAGGGAGCGUAGGUGGAUUGUUAAGUCAGUUGUGAAAGUUUGCGGCUCAACCGUAAAAUUGCAGUUGAAACUGGCAGUCUUGAGUACAGUAGAGGUGGGCGGAAUUCGUGGUGUAGCGGUGAAAUGCUUAGAUAUCACGAAGAACUCCGAUUGCGAAGGCAGUUCACUGGACUGCAACUGACACUGAGGCUCGAAAGUUUGGGUAUCAAACAGGAUUAGAUACCCGUGUAGU
rnacentral:rRNA from 1 species